rnacentral:lncRNA from 1 species
GUGGAAGAUGGGUCAGGAGAAAGCAGGAAUUCGUAAAAAGUCAUACGUUUCAGAAUGGUGAAUCUUCUAGAAUGGUGGCAUUUGUUUAAAGUCUCUCUUCCUGGACAGGUUUCCAGGUCUGUACAGCUAAGGAUUACGUGCUUCUUGUUCUGAUAUCGACCCUGAUAUCAGUUUCCCCACAUUAAACCCAGCAUAUAUGGGGUUAAAACCAAAACACUCAUUCCCUGCUUACUCUCUGGCUUCCUGGCUCCAGAAUCCACUAUCCUCCAUGGAGACAGACACCAUCAAGGACAAGCGCCUGGACUAUCUCCUCCCCACAAAGAGAUACAGACUGGUGGGAAAGCUGCUGACCCGCAAGGUCAUGAGCUCCCUCCUCUCUGCAAGUGUCUCAAGGCCAAAGACAGGCUAGUGGGAAAGCUCUGACCAGCAAGGCCAUAUGCUCCCCCUCCCCUACCUAAAACCCCAAAUAAAAACCCUUCCUUUUAGCUUUUCGGGGAGUUUGGGAUUUGAGCGUUAGCUGCCCUCUCUCCUUGCUCAGCGCUGUGCAAAAAUAAAGUUCCUACUUUCUUCCACCACACCCGGUGUCAGAGAUUGGCUUGCUGCGCGACGGUUUCCAAGAUGAGAUCGUUUCUCACACAUUCCAAAGGAUGGUGAAAAUCUUAGUGAGAGAAAGCAGGUCAGUGGUUGCCUAGGACUGGAAGCUGGAGCAGGGGGUCAACGGCAGAGGAGUGCAGACAGCCUUCCAGAGUGACGGAGCUGUUCCAGAGCUUGAACACAGUCACCAACAUUCAUCGAAUGUACACUUAAAGUAGAUGGCUUCCAUGGUAUGUGAACUAAAUCUCAAUAAAGCUGAAAAAAUUAAAAGCAAUCACAACAAUUGUUUAGAAUCAGACCAACUUAAUAUUUGAGGGUAGAAGAGCAUUUUAUUACUGCUGUUAUUUAGAACUGCUAUUGCAUGGCGACAAUAAAAAGCAGAUCGACCUUUGGUCAUCCCCAGAGGAGAAUGGGAGUGAGAUGUGGAAAUGAAAACGGGAUUUAGUGAAAGUCUGCAAUAAGGAGUGGGUCACAAAACUCCUCCCGUGCUGCCUGUGGAGUACUGGCAGUCUUCAUGUUCCCCCAGGCAACUGAAGAAUUCUUUUCCAUCAAAAUAAAUAACCCGGGAAAAAGGUCUUUAAAUGCAGACAUGAGAGUUCACUCAGUGAAAUGGGCUUACAUUCAACUCCCCUGGAGAAAAGCGCCCUACAAAGGGCAGCACCAGCCAUGCACACAGCUCCAUAGCACCUCACUCAGAAAUACUCAGCACGGAAUCAUCAGCGAGGUAUGAGGAGACCUUGCAAUGUGAGUGAGAGACCAAGAAAACACACAGAGGAUACAGAAAUAAUGUAUGAAACAGGAGGAACUUCAGGAACAAUUCCAUUAAUUCAUUCAACAAUCCUUUAGGGGACUCUUACUGCAGUUUUCCAUCAUGCUGAGCCUUAGAUUGUUAGUUAAAUUAGAUGGAACUAAAUCAAUGGAAGAAUACUGAAGUAGGCGGCACAAGACUGUGUUUCAUGUUCUCGCUAAUAAUUUGCUUUUGGGCAAAUAAAAUCAUUUACUAACAUGGACCUCAGUUUUUUCAUUCUUCAACUGGGUAUAGAAGUAUCUGACCCUGAGGGAUGGGGUGGGCAGUGCGUGACUUGAAGGGGCUCAAGGGGUCUUCUGGAGUUUGGGUGAUGUUUUAUUUCCCUACUGGGGUGGAAGUGUUUACUGUAUGCUUAUGACAUGCACUUUUCAGGAGAGAUGUUAUACUUCAAUGAAAAGAUUCCCAGGAAGAUGAAUUUUAAUGCCUCUUCUCAACCUGAGUGAAAUUCUACGAUUCUGUGACUGUUUUAAGUAAAGCAUUAUGGUAGAGAAAAGAAAUCUGAACAGGAAAUUUUAAAACAUGAUCCUAAAAUUUAAAAUCCUUUUAACCAACUAGCUGUUGAUCUUUAGCCAAACAUCCCGUCUGUAAGGGACUCCAUUUUCUCAUAUAUACAUUGACAGGUGGAAUCAAUUCAGGUUUUCUCUAAUGUCCCUGACUCUCUAAAAGUCUAAGAUUAUAGUUAUUAACAUUUAACCCCAACUGAUGAUUUUCCGAAGCGUGGUCAAGCAGGAUUCUUCCUAGCCCUUUUGUUGUUAGUACUUAAGCAUUAAGGGAGGUGAUUUUGGUUUGCAAACUGUGCUGUUAAUGACAAGCAUGACUUAUUCUCAUAAUUAAGUUCUGGAUCCUACCUGAAUCUUCUUUAUGCUAUUAAUUUGCUUAGGGAACCAUUCUCUUAGCGAUAAAAGGUUGAAAUUAAAUAGUUUUACCAUACUCUGUAAAUAUUUUUCAGAGGGUGUGCCUCAAAAUAUUUUUCUUGUCUCCUCCUUGGUUUUUGUGUUGUUCUUCCCACAUCAUUCCAUUUUACUUCAGAGAAAGAGCCUGACGCUCUAGCUUUAUUUCUCUACUUGAAAAUCUCAUAAAAACAUUUUAAUUUAAAAAUUAUUGCUCUUUUAGAUCUGCCUAUGAAUCUUUAUUUGAAACAGAGAAAUAACAGCAGUUAUUUUGAGUUUUUGACAAAGAUUGUAAAUUCUUUAAUUCUUUUCUCUCUAAACCAUUUCAUUUAUAAGUCGGCUUCAGGGAUUAGUGGAUCACUCAGCAUGGACUGUUUCCUGCCUCUGGAUAAGUGGCGAGAAACAGUUCUUCUCCCAAAGUUGAAAAGAUGGAAAGUACUUCUUGAAACCUUGCUGUUGUUAAUACCAUCAAGAAAGAUGAAUUUUCCUGAAAAAGUGUUACAGACAUCUCUGCCUAAGGAAGCCCCUUUGGAGACCCUGUGAAGCUGUCGUUUGGGUCAGUUAUUUGUAUGUCUUCGUUGUUGCUCCUGUUACUUUCUCUUGGUGAAAGGUGGACCAUCUGAUGUUGGCAGUUUCUGUCUCUGAGCACCUGGGAAUUUGGACAAUGGAUCUCUUCUAUUUUAAAAUUAUCUAUCUCUCAGAGAUAUUUAGCUUUUGGCUUUUCAUCCUCUUUAGAGCUAACAUUUGGGGGCUACAUUUCUGUGAGUUAACUCUUAGGGCAACCAGUCUGAUGGGAAAGUACAUGAUAUGCUUAACAAAUUAGUUACUAAUGUGUUUUCAUGAUGUCUUUCUUUCAAAUUUCAAUAUUCUUCCUCAUUUCUUGGAAUUCUCAGUACUAAAAAAUAAAAAGUCCUAAAAGGCAAGAAUUCACUGUAAAACAUAGCUUGUCAGGUUGUUCUUUUGCUUUUAUUUAUUUAUUUGUCUUUUAUAGAAGUAUAGUUGACAUACAAUAUUAUGUUAGUUUCAGGUGUACAACAUAGCGAUUCAACAUUUAUAUACAUUACAAAAUAAUCACCAUGACAAGUCUAGUAACCAUCUGUCACCAAACUAAGUUAUUAAAAUAUUAUUGAGUAUAUUCCCAUACCAUACAUUACAUCUCCGUGACUUAUUUAUUUUAUAACUGGAAGUUUGUACCUCUUAAUCCCCUUACCUUAUUUUUCCCAUCCCCCCAUCUCUCUGGUGACCACUGGUUUGUUCUUUUAUCUGUGAGUCUAUUCCUGUUUUGUUUUAUUUGCCUGUUUGUUUUGUUUUUCAGAUUUCACAUGUAAGUGAAAUCAUAUGAUAUUUGUCUUUGUCUGGCUUAUUUCACUUAGCAUUAUACCCUCAAAGUCCAUCCAUGUCAUCGCAAAUGGCAAGAUUUCCCUCUUUUUAUGGCUGAGUAGUAUUCCGUUGUGUGUGUGUAUAUGUACAUAUACCCCAUCUUCUUUAUCUAUUCACCCAUCAAUGGACACAGGUUUUUCCAAGACUUGGGUGUUGUAAAUAAUGCUGCAGUGAACAUAGGGAUACAUAUAUCUUUUUGAAUCAGUUUUUUGGUUUCUUUGGAUAAAUACCCAGAAGUGGGAUUGCUGGAUCAUAUGGUAGUUCUAUAUUCAAUUUUUUGAAGAACCUUCAUACUGUUUUCCAUAGUGGCUGCACCAAUUUAUAUUUCCACCAACAGUGCAUGAGAGUUCCCUUUUCUCCAUAUCCUCACACUUAUUUGUUCUUUUUGAUAACAGCCAUUCUGACAGGUGUGAGGUGAUAUCUCAUUGUAGUUUUAAUUUGCAUUUGCCUGAUGAGUAGUGAUGUUGAACAUCUUUUCAUGUGCCUCUUGGCUUUCUGUAUAUCUUCUCUGGAAAAAUGUCUGUUCAGAUCUUCUGCCCAAUUUUUAAUUGGAUUGUUUGUUUUUUUGAUAUUGAGUUGUAUGAGUUCCUUAUAUAUUUUGGAUAUUAACUCUUUUUUGAUAUAUCAUUUGCAAAUAUCUUCUCCCAUUCAGUAGGUUGCCGCUUCAUUUUACUGGUGGUUUCCUCCACUGUGCAAAAGCUUUUUAUUUUGAUGUAGUCCUAUUUGUUUAUUUUUGCUUUUGUUGCCCUUGCCUGAGGAGACAGAUUCAAAACAUUAUUGCUAAGACCAAUGUCAAAGAGCUGACUUUCUUCUAGGAGUUUCAUGGUUUCAUGUUUUCCAGUUAAGUCUUUAAUUCAUUUUGAAUUUAAUUUUGUAUAUGGUGUAAGAAAGUGGUCCAAUUUCAUUCUAUUGCAUGUCACUGUCCAGUUUUCCCAACAGCAUUUAUUAAAGAGACUGUCUAUUCCCCGUCGUAUAUUCUUGCCUCCUUUUUCGUGGAGGCAAUAAUUGCCAUGUAAGCAUGGAUUAUUUCUGGUCCCUCUAUUCUGUUCCAUUAAUCUAUGUGUCUGUUUUUGUGCUAUACAGUUUUGAUUACUAUAGCUUUGUAAUAUAGUUCAAAAUCAGGGAGCAUGAUACCUCCAGCUUUGUUCUUUUUUCUCAAGAUUGCUUCGACUAUUCGAGGUCAUUUGUGGUUCCACACAAAUUUUAAGAUUAAUUGCUCUAGUUCUGUGAAAAAUGCCAUUGGUAUUUUGAUAGAGAUUGUAUUGAAUCUGUAGAUUGCUUUGGGUACUAUGGACAUUUUAACAAUAUUAAUUCUUCCAAUCCAUGAGUACAGUACAUCUUUCUAUUUAUUUGUGUCAUUUCUUUUGUCAGUGGCUUGUAGUUUUCAGAGUAAUAUCUUUCGCCUCGUUGGUUAAAUUUGUUCCUAGAUAUUUUAUUAUUUUUGAUGCAAUUGUAAAUGAGAUUGUUUUCUUAAUUUCUCUUUCUGAUUUUUCAUUAUUAGUGUAUAGAAACAGAACAGAUUUCUGUAUAUUGAUUUUGUAUCCUGCAAAUUUACUGAAUUCAUUUAUUAGUUCUAAUAUUUUUGGUAGAGUCUGUAGGGUUUUCUAUAUAUAAAAUCAUGUUGCCUGCAAUGGUUACUGUUUUGCUUCAGCUUACCAAUAUUUUGCUGAGGAUUUUUGCAUCUAUGUUCAUCAGGGAUAUUGGCCUGUAAGUUUUUUUGUUUUUGCAGUAUUUUUGUCUGUUUGGGAUCAGGAUAAUGUUGACCUUGUAGAAUGAGCUUGAAGCAUUCUUUCCUCUCUAAUUUUUUGGAAGAGUUUGACUAGGCUAGCUAUUAACUCUUCUUUAAAUGUUUGGUAGAAUUCACCUGUGAAGCCUUCUGGUCCUGGAUUUCUGUUUAUCAGGAGUUUUUGAUUAUUGACUCAAUUUCACUAGUAGUAAUUGAUCUGUUCAGAUUUCUAUUUCUUCUGAUUCGGUCUUCAAAGAUUGUUUGUUGUUAGGAAUUUAUCCAUUUCUCUCAGGUGGUCCAAUUUGUUGGUAUAUAAUUGUUCAUGGUAGUCUCUUAUGAUCCUUUGAGUUUCUGUGGUGUCGGUUGUAACAUCUCCUCUUUCGUUUCUGAUUUCAUUUAUUUGGUCCCUCUCUCUUUUUUUCUUGAUGAGUCUGGCUAAAGGUUUACCAAUUUUGUUUCUCUUUUCAAAGAACCAGCUCUUAGUUUCAUUGUUCUUUUUUUUUUUUUGUCUCUAUUUCAUUUAUUUCUGCUCUGCUCUUUAUUAUUUCUUUUCUUCUCCUAAGUUUUGGCUUCAUUUGUUCUCCUUUUUUGAGUUCCUUCAGGUGUAAGGUUAGAUUGUUUUAAGAUUUUUCUUGUUUCCUGAGAUAGGCCUGAGCUUCCCUCUUAGAACCACUUUUGCUAUGUCCCAUUGAUUUUGGAAUGUUGUGUCUCCAUUUUCAUUUGUCUCAAGAUAUUCUUUUAUUUCCUCUUUGAUUCUUUAUUGACCCAUUGGUUGUUUGGUAGCAUGUUGUUUAGCCUCUGUAUGUUUGUGUUUUUUCCAGUUUUCUUCUUGUAAUUGAUUUCUAGUUUCAUACUGUUAUCAUUAGAAAAGAUGCUUGGUGUGAUUUCAGUCUUAUUAAGUUUAUUGAGACUUGUUUUGUGGCCUAACAUGUGGUCUACCUUGGAGAAUGUUCCAUGUGUGCUUGAAAAGAAUGUCUAUUCUGCUGUUUUGGGAUGGAAUGUUCUGUAUAUAUCUACUAAGUCCAGCUGGUCUAAUGUGUCAUUUAAAGCCAAUGUUUCCAUACUCUUUUUCUGUCUGGAUGAUCUAUCCAUUGACGUGAGUGGGGUGUUAAAGUCCCCUACUAUUAUUGUAUUACUAUCAAUUUCUCCCUUUAAGUCUGUUGAUAUUUGCUUACAUAUUUAGGUAUUCCUACAUUGGCUGCAUAAAUAUUUACAAAUGUUAUGUCUUUUUCUUGGAUUGACCCCUUUAUCUUUAUUUUUUAUAUAUAUAAUGAAGUUCCACACCCUAUGAACCAUCAAUUCUUUUUUUUUUAAAGAUUGGCACCUGAGCUAACAACUGUUGCCAAUCUUCUUUUUUCUUCCUCUGUCCUUCUUCUUCUUGCCAAAGUCCCCCAGUACAUAGCUGUAUAUUCUAGUUGUAGGUCAUUCUUGUUGUGCUAUGUGGGACACCACCUCAGCAUGGCUUGUUGAGUGGUGCCGUGUCCACGUCCAGGACCUGAACUGGUGAAAUCCUGGGCCACUGAAGCAGAGCACAUGAACUUAACCACUCAGCCACAGGGGUGGCUCCCCCCUCAUCUUUAUAUGAUUCCCUUCUUUGUCUCUUGCUACAAUUUUUGUUAUAUAAAUAUUUGAUAUAAAUAUUCUUACCCCAGCUUUCUUUUCAUUUCCAUUUGCAUGGAGUAUCUUUUUCCAUCUCUUCACUUUCAGUCUUUCUAUGUCUUUAAAUAUGAAGUGAGUCUUUUAUAGGCAGCAUAUAGCUGGGUCUUGGGUCUUGUUUUUUGGUUUUUGGGGGUUUUUUUGGUGAGGAAGAUUGGCCCUGAACUAACGUCUGUUGCCGAUCUUCCUCUUUUUGCUUGAGGAAGAUUGUCACUGAGCAAAUAUCCAUGCCAAUCUUCCUCUAUUUUGUAUGCAGGAUGCCACCACAGUGUGGCUUGAUGAGCAGUGUGUAGGUCUGGGCCCAGGAUCUGAACCCGUGAACCCCAGGCCACAGAAGGACAGCAUGCUAAUGUAACCACUACACCACCUGGCCAGCCCCAGAUGGGUCUUGUUUUUUAUCCAUUCAGCCACACUAUGUAUUUUGAUUAGAGCGUUUAGUCCUUUUACAUUUAAAGUAAUUAUUGAUAGAUAUGUACUUACUGCCACUUUGUUAAUUGUUUUUCUGGUUGUUUUUGUAGUUCUUCUCUGUUUCUUUCUUUUUCUCUUGCUCUCUUCCCUUGUGAUUUGGUGACUUUCUUUAGUGUUGUUUGUGUUCCUUUCUCUUUAUUUUUGUUUAUCUCUUAUAGGUUUUUGGUGUGUGGUUACCAUGAGGUUCAUAUAGAGCAGCUCUGGAUAUAGCAGUCUGUUUUAAGUUGAUGGUUACUUAAGUUUAAGAAAGUUCUAAAAGUACUACAUUUUCUCUCUUCUCACUAUGUGUUAUGUUUUUGAUAUCACAUUUUAAAUCUUUUUAUUUUGUGUAUCCUUUAACUAAUUAUUGUAGCUAUAGAUGACUUUACUAUUUUUCUUUUAACCUUCAAACUAGCUACAUAGAUGGUUGAUCAACUGACUUUACUAUAUGUUUGCCAUGACCAGUGAGGAUUUUUAAGUAAUUUUCUUAUUUCUUGUUAGGGCCUUUUCUUUUCCAUUUAAAGAAGUCCCUUUAACAUUUCUUGUAAAGCUGGUUUAGUGGUAAUGAACUCCUUUAGCUUUUGCUUGUCCCAGAAACUCUAUCUCUCCUUUGAUUCUGAAUGGUAACCUUGCUGCAAAGAGUAUUCUUUUUUUUUCUUGGUGUGAGAGGUUGGCCCUGAACUAACAUCUGUUGCCAAUCAUCCUCUUUUUGCUUAAGGAGGAUUGUCUGAGCUAACAUCUGUGCCAGCCUUCUUCUAUUUUGUAUGUGGGAUGCCACCACAACAUGGCUUGGUUAGCGGUGUGUAGGUCCACACCCAGGAUCCAAACCUGUGAACCCUGGGCCACCAAAGCAGAGCACACAAACUUAACCAGUAUGCCACCAGGCCAGCCCCUGGGUAGAGUAUUCUUGAUUGUAAGGUUUGUGCUUUCAGCACUUUGAAUAUAUCAUGCCACUCCCUUGUGCCCUGCAAAGUUUCUGCUGAAAAGUCAGCUGAUAGUCUUGUGGGGGUUCCCUUUCACAGAACUAGUUGUUUUUCUCCUGCUGCCUUUAGAUUCUCUCUUUAAUUUUUGACAUUUUAAUUUUAAUGUGUCUUGGUGUGUGUUUCUUUGAGUUCUUCUUGUUUGGGACUCACUGUUCUCCCUGGACGUGGAUGAUCUGUUUCCUUUAUCAGGUUCAGCCAUUAUUUUUUUAAAUAUGUUUUCUAUCUCUGUCUCUUUCUCUUGUCUUUCUGGGACCCCUAUAAUGCAAAGGCUAGUAUGCUUGACAUUGUCCCGUAGAUGCCUUAGGCUAUCAUCAUUUUUUUAAUUCUUUUUUCUUCUUCCUGUUUCCAUUGGAUGAUUUCACUACCCUGUCUUCCAGAUUGUUGGUUUGUUCUGCAUCAUCUAACCUACUAUUGAGUCCUUCUAGUGUGCUUUCCAUUUCAGUCAUUGUAUUCUUCAGCUCUGGUUGGUUCUUUUUACAUUUUCUGUCUCUUUGGUGAAGUUCUCACUUUUUCAACCAUCUUUCUCCUGAGUUUAGUGAGCAUCUUUAUCACCAUUACUUUGAAUUCUUUGUCUGGUAGAUUGCUUGUCUCCAUUUCAUUUAGUUCCUUUUCUGAGGUUUUGUCUUGUUCUUUCAUUGGGAACAUAUUCCUUUGUCUCUUCAUUUUGCUUAACUAUCUGUGUUUGUUUCAUGUAUUGGGUAGAUCAGUUAUGUGUCCUGGUCUUGAAGGGGUGGCCUUAUGUAGAAAGUGUCGUGUGGGGCUGAGUAACACAAUCCCCCCAAUCAGCAGAGUAAGGUGCACCAGGUGUGUCCCCUGUGUAGGCUGUGUGUACCCUCCUGUUGUGCCUGGGCCAUGAUUGCUGCAGCUGUGCUGGUGUGUGGGGCUGGCCCCUGGGGCAGGAGCUACUUUGGAGGGGCUCCAGGGCUGCCUGUGAGGUGGGGUGGUGUGGGAGCUGCUUUAUAGGGGCUCUGUGGCCAGCCAGGGCUCCCCACACGGUAGGGUGGGACAGGAGCCAUGUUGGAGGGGUGUCAGCCAGAUCGGGUCCACAGGGGAACAAUAGGGCAGGGAAGCGAUGCUAGCAAGGUAGAUAGAGAGUGUCAAAAAUGGUGCCCACCAGGGCCAGGCAGUUAGGUAGAAGGAAAGUAAAAAAAAAAAAAAGGUGCCCACCAGUGCUUCCGUCCCCAGAGAAAGUUCCAACAGAUCCCUGCUCCUCCAGCACGUGCCCUAAAGUUAGUCAGUGAGUCUCUUUCACCUGUAACUCCAGCACUUUUCAAACUGCUGCCUCCGCGCCGCGCCAGGACUUGAAGUGAAUGAGCUGGUGCACACCCUCUAAGAGCAGAGAGACUCGGUUUGCGGCAGCCCUCCACUAUCCCGGACAUAAGCCCUGCUGGUUUUCACAGCCAGACGUUAUAGGGGCUCGCCUUUCCCACACACGUCCCCCAGGCUGGGGAGCCUAUUGUGGGGCUCAGCCCCUUGCUUGUCACCCUCCAUGGUUGUGAUGUCCCUCCUCCCUGCGGGCCACCAUGCCAGGGGUGUGGCUCCUGACUAGACCACAUCUCUGCCCCUCCUACCCAUCUCGACGUGGCUUUUUCUUUACUUUCCUAGUUGUGGAAAAUCUAUUCUGCUGGUCUUCAGGUCGUUCUCGGUGACAGUUGUUGCAUAUGUGUUGUGGUUUUGGUGUGUCCAUGGGAGGAGGGGAGCUAAGGACCUUCCUGCUCUGCUAUCUUGAUCCAAUCUAUUUUCCUGUCACGUUAUUCUUGAAGUGGACAUAGAUUUCUAUUUUCCCUCACGAAGUUUAUAGAUUCAGCAAAGAAAUUGAAGAGGCCUUGAAAAGAAAUGCCCUUAAGUCAUCUCAGAGAGGUAAUUACCACUCUUUUUCUUAAAAAUAUCCAGGAGUCUACUCAGGCCUCUGCUGGUAAUGGACUGCGUUACCUCCAACCCUCAAGCAGACAUAAAACUCCUCUUGCUCUCUACUGUCACCUUUCUUUCCUUGAGAAAAAUCACCUUCUCCCCUCUUUACCAGACAAUUUCUCUUUUGUAAUGUUAAGUCCAUUUUUCUCAAGUUCCCUCCUUCAAAAGACUACUGACCCAUAGAAAAACAAGCAUUCAUUUCUUAGUGUGUCUAGAGAUUUCUUCUCUGAAGGAGAGAGACUCAGACAGGAGAAGUCCUAUCCCUGGCCGUGUUUCCUCUGGACCCUUUCCUCAAGAUCUGGAACAAAGUUUCUAGGUCCUUAGAUCAGAAUUUGCAAAUUCAAUCUAAGGGAAAAGCAAGGGUUACCCCAUAAGAACUUCCUGCCCUGCUCCAGAUCAGCCGGCCUCAAGUUGAGCGAUGGCAGCCGUCAGCACGACACACCCUGCGCCCACUGCCUGCUCUGUCCAGGCCGCCAUGCCAGGCACUGGGAGCUCCAGCUCCAGAAGGGGUAUGUGGUCAACAAAAACUUCUUCUUUGCCUUACACUUACUCAGUUUUUAAGCUCAUAAGGAUCUUGCACAAAUAUUACCACGUUAUGAUCUUUACAACCUUCUGUUGGAAGUCAGGACAGGAAUAUUUUCCCCCUUAUUUUAUAGAAGAAGAAGACACUAUCGCCGUCACAGUUUGGGCGGGUGAAGCGUGGGGCCCACCUCUCCCCCGUCUGCAUCCAGGUCCUCGCUCUCAGCCUCACUCUGUAGCCCCCACUCCAAAUCCUGGUGUAUCCCACGACCACUCCACUUGUUUGAUUCGCUCCUCUCUUAUAAUCCUUUCAUUGCAGAUACCUUAUAGUGUCAGAGCACAAACGCCAGCUGCUUUUCAACUCAGAACCCAAAUAACCUUUUCUUAAAAACAUUAUUCCUGGGGGUCAAGUUGUUAAUUGUUUUGAAUUUCUUUCUCCAAGAAAGUUGAUGUGAUGUUAUUGAACUUUUUGAUGACACUUAUGGCAGCUUUCAUUCUAUUACUGGUAACUGUAGAUAAAGUCAAAGUGUAUGGUGUCAGGAAAAUUAUCAGUCCAUUAAAUGGCCCAAUCUGAAACCAUCUAGUGAGGGAAAGAGCCUGCCAUCACAAAUGAGGCGGUAUUCUGCAAUACCAUGGAGUGAGCUUCUUAGUUUCCAACUGGCUGAGCCCCAGAUGCCAUCUUUUUUCCUGAGCUAAUCAGAAGGUGGAUUUUUAGCAUGACCACUGUUACUUCUCACCACUGCUGCGAGUGAGUCUAAGAAUGUCAUUAACAAGGAACAUGGUCCCAGGACAGCUGCCACAUGCAUAGUCCCUAGGAUGGUUAAUAAGUGCAUUUGUCUGCCUUGGUUUUUGUCCUUGCCAACACACUAUCGACAAGGGAAAUGCACUCCAGGGUGAGCAAACUCAUCAGGGUUUGUGGGAUGGUAGUGUUUGAUUCUAAAAUAAGUGAGAUCAUUAUUUAUACUAGCAACAGAAAUAAGCGUUUACUGUGUGUCUGACAUACGUGGGGCACUGAGCUAGACUUAGGAGAUAUAAGGUGGUACCCGACACAGAUUUUUACCUAAAGGAACUGACGAUAAAGCUGGAGAUGUAAGAAAUGAAUCUAAAAGUGGAAAUUACAGUUGUGAUAUAGCACCUUUAAAUCCAAAGUGAGUGGAGUGGAGACAUACCGUUCUGGGAGCUCAUGGGGUAAAGCAAUUUGCAGGGCUGAGGCAGGCAGGGGAGCCCAAUAACUCUGCGCUGUGGAACCUACUGUCUACAUUUACAUCUAAUUCAGUCCCCAUCAUGACCAUACAAGACAAAAUGCUAUUGUUGCCUGCACUCCUCCCCCAUUUUGCAGAUGAGGAAAUUGAGGCUUGGAGUUAAGUAACUUGCCUAAGCCACACACUGGCAUCCAGGCACCCUGACACCAGAACACUAGCUGUUAACCACCAUCCUGGAUAAGGAAGCCAGCACCCUUCUCUGAAGGUGAAGGAGACUGGGAAAGGAGCCCAUCGGCCUGCUCAGGGAGAAAGGCCAGUGUAGCCGCUGGACUCUGCUGACUGGAGUUUAUGCAGAAACACUGUAGAGGCCAUCCAGGUCUUUGCCAGUCCAACUCCAGGUGGCAGGGCUGACUCAGAUGAGACACAGCACCAGGAGAGGAACCCUGAGGCAGCCACAACAAAAAGUCAAGAAGGCAGCAUCCUCCAGGACACGUGUCAGACAGCAGACUGGAGUUUGGGAGAGAGCCCUGGGUCAUGGACAGGGCAAGGCCGACAUCUUAACAGACAGUGAUGUACCAAGGUACCAAGAGAGUGACUCCCAAUCAGAGCAUGACAUGGAUCCCAUGGUAACAGGUUUAACUAGAGCAGGACAGGGCGGGUGGACACCUGGGGUCACCCACCAUCGGGGUAGGACAGGCACUGUGGGGACAGAGUCAAAGGACGGUCAGCCUGGCAAGCAGAAUUUGAUAUCCAGAAGUAUGGCAUGACCUUUUAAACAAAAAGUCAGACAAGUGCACCAAACAGCCCCCUGGUGGGGAAGGGCGCUGGAUCGUCACCGGUAUCUGAUCCGGUCCAGAGGCCAUAGCAGGGGAGAAGCUGGAGUCCGGAUCCCAGGCCCCAGGCAGCCCGACUAACAAAACUGACUCGAUGCCCAGUUAUAUCUUCUCCUGGCAAGAGUCCUGACGACUCUUCUCUCUGGGUCAGAAUUGAGCAGAGUCUAAGAUGGGACUGAGUCCACAAGCAAGGAUGGAGGACCCCUCGUGUGGUUUAACCAGGCUUCACAAGAUAGGAACCAAGCAGCACCCAUCAUCAUGUGCAGUCACCUUUUAGCACAUAUUUACUGAGUGCCUGCUAUGCACCAGGCACUGUUCCAAGUGGGGGACCACAGCAGCAAACAAAACAGAAGAGUCUUUGCUCCCUUGGCACUCACAUUCCAGAGGGAGCAUAAUUAAAUAAAAUAAGAUGAGGCAAAAGAGUGUUCUAGGAAAAGAGAAUGACUUUGCAAAUGUCAGAGGCAGGAAAUGUCACGGAUUGUUCGACAGAGAAUCAACUGGUCUGGUUGCAGCAAAAGGUUAAGGAAGGAAUCCAGGGAAUUCAGCCGUGCACCGUUUCCAGAAUCACCAGUGCCCUGUGGCUGGGCUAGAAGAACUGGAGACCAUCUGCCUGGGCCCUCCAGCCUGCAGAGAAGACCUCGAGGCCCAGAGGAGUGGAGGCGGUGGAAGCAUGCAGCACAGUCUCCGGGAGGACGGGCCCCGUCGCGGUCACUUUGAUAGGCACUCUCUGAAUCUUGAGUCCUCUGCAUCUGGAGAGGUUUAAAGGGAGGGACGUGGCCCAAGAUUCUGGUCAAGGGAGCAGGGUCCAGGCCCUCCUGUCUCACGCUUCUCCCUGACCCUGAGCAAGUCCCAGAUCUUCACAGCUUUGAGGUUGAUACUUUCAAAGGCCUCUUCCAAUUCUGAAGUCCUUUAAAGCGUUAAGGCAUCCUCACCUGGUGACCAGUAAUGAGCAUUCAUUGGCUUCAGAGGUGGGAGGGGGCGGGCAGGAGGCAAGCAGACAGCAGGAUCUAGAUUCUGGUCCUGAUUCUGGUCUCUGCUGUGACCAGGAACAGGUCUUAGAACCCCUCGGCGUCCUCAUCUAUGAAGUGAGGGGUUGUGCUGGCCCACCACAAGCCGCCUCUUGGCUCUAGCAAUCUUGAGCCUAUGGUCUCAUUUGCUUUGACGGUGAAAACAGACAAACAAACGCACAGCUGAUGUACUGUUUUAAGAAGGAGACCAGCUCUCGAUGAAAACAUCUUAAAACAAAUAGUGUUAAUUGUCUCCUCCUUCACACCUCAUUGUCCCCACCAUAGCUUGUAAUUUUGCAGUCAGUGGUGUGAUGCUUGAGUUACAAUGCUUGCUUUCAAAGCUCAUGCAGCAUUUAAGUAAAUGUUUUUUUUAGUAAAAUGCAGAAGAGUGAGUCUGGAAAGAAAACAAAAGUCAACAAAUUAUUAAAUUUAUUUUUCACAAAUUAAGCUCAUUGCACUGUAUACACAGGAUUCUAAUGCAUCCCAGACUCCUCGGUGGCUCCCCCAUGUCUCUAUAAAUGCCAUCGGCACUGGCAGCAAGCUUUAUAGCACAUAAUGAAUGUGCUUGUUCUAACAAUGCCAUCAACUGUUUCUGAACCAAAAGCUGUCAAGAUUUUCCUUUUCCUUUAUUCUAGGUGGAAAAAAAUGACUCUAAGGGAGACUUGUAAUCAGGGGAAAAAGUGACAGAAUGUCGGCUAAUUUGCCUCCCUAAGGCCUCUUGGAAGUGCUCGUUCAGUCUGUUUUAUUAUCCCAGUUUUUCUAAUCACAGCUAAAAUCAUGGUGAGGAUUCAAGUUAAAUCCUGCAACUAUAAACAUAUAUUCUGUUUAUUUCAGGACAAAGCACCCAAAUGUGCAAACAAAAGUUAGAAAAUACAACAUGCACAUUUCUGUAUGCAGUCGUGGCCGUCGUUGCUCGGCGUUGCACUUGUGUUACUGCAGCUCGCCGUCCACCGUGCAGAGAUGAUGUAGCCAGCACAGACAGAGCGCUGACUGCGCCAGGCGCUGUGCUAAUUGAGUCACAUGUAGUGUCUCAUCCAGGCCUCCCAGCCACCAAAUCUGGGAAGCAGUGACACAGGUUGCCCUCAAAGCCAGCUUCCGCCUCUGGUCUUGCUGUUUUGGUAAGAGGUACCAUCACUUUGCUUGCUACCUAGGCCUGAGAGCCUGCUUGUUCUUCCCAGAUGUGCGGCCUCAUGUCCAGAGAGAUUCAGGGACUGGCCCUCCUGGACAGUAUCCCUCAUGUAGGCUUUCUAGUUCCCUUCCCUUGCUCAUACCUUCUCCCCUGGCCUCCUCUUUUCUCUCUCAGUGCUUCUGGUGUGUAGCCCAAAGUGCCCUCUACACGGCUCACUUCCUCUCUGCGCUCUCUCCUUGGCCCGCAUACACACACCUGCUUCCUGACUGCCUGGUCCUUGGUAAUCCCCGCCCCAGAGCUCACCACCACCCGCACGCCCAGCAAGCUCCGACCUGACUGAGCCAGUGCGAUUCUUACUGAUGCUGGCUGCUGGUUAUCUCUUGCUAGGCACAAACCUCGUCUUUCCAAACAAAGUGAAACUCCUUGAGAGGAGGGCCAUCUCCUCCGCAAGCCCUCACCCAGGGGCCCAGACAGGCAAAUGAGUCACGAAUGUGGGAGGCAAUCAACUCUGCAGUAGUCAUCCUGUGAACACUCCCCUGGUGUUUACUAGGGGCCAGACGCCACUCUAAGCACUUUAGACACAUUCACAGCAACCACAAGAAGUGCUUAGUAUUAUAUAUCGGUGUUUCACUGGUGAGGGGACUAAGGCGCAGAAAGGUUGAGUGACUUUACCAAGGUCACAAAGCUAGUAGGUAGGGUCAAGAUUUGAACCAGCCUGUCUCAUUCCAACGCCUGUGUUCUUAUGCAACCAAAGAACGAGUGUUCAGACUGUCCACCUCCAAACACACUGAGGUAUUUUCCACUCCCUUUCAUUACAUUUUCAACAUCUGAUAAAAUAAGAAAACGUUUAGUUGGCCAGAUAAUCACAAACACACUGGGGGUCUCGUUUCCUUGUCAUCAGAAUUUUAGCUUUCCAUGAGUGAAAGGAGAAUUCGAAUUGGAAUUUACCCUGAUGUACUGAGGCACUUCUGCAUUUGACAAACUCACUUUUAUUUGGUUUGAACCCAAGAGUAAGGUUUUGAUGUCUGUUGAAAGUUAAAUUCCCACAGAAGGAGAAGCCUGAUGCAGAGUCAUCUCACUUGAGAGCUGAGGUUUUAUUUCAAUUAGGUGGAGUAGAAAGGAGGGCAUCAAAGGCCUGAUGUGUCUAGAGAGGCAGCCUGGCAUGGUAAAAUGAAAGCAUCUGAGAACGCCUGAAUGCAAUUUCUAACCUUGAAAAUAAACUUGAGAAACUUUGGGCAGCCAAUUAGGCCCUCAGGACCUCAGUGUGAGCUGCACAAGGCGGACGUUAGAGUGAAUGAGGUACAGGGCAUCUUCCCAGUUAUAGGACACAUCCCACGCCACUGUGUGCUCCCGGAAGCAGAGACCACGUAUGUGCUGAGCCAACUCGAAAUCCUAACACCCAGAACACAGCAAACACGCACUGAAUGUGCCUCCAAGGAGCAGAGGAAGACUUAGUCUUAGCUCACCGUUAGGCUGGGCUGACGGCCUCUCCCAGAGCUCCCCACCUUUGUACACAAAUGUCUCAGACAUUCUCACCCAGAUAUCUCAUUUUCAUUUAAAACCCAAAAUGUCUAAGACCCAAAUCACCACCUCCCUCCCAACACCAGGUUCUUCUCCAGAUGUCCUUAUCAGCACCUGUGGCUUAAAAUUAUCAGCAUUUCCAAUAACGUUGAAAUUCUAAGGCUUGAAAUUAUGAGCAUCUCCUUUGCUUCUCUCUCUGAGCAGUCCUAAAUCCUCUUAGUACUUUCCUUAAAUUUUUGCAGCUUUCUUCUCUCCUUUUCAUGUCCUCUGGCAGCACUCUGAAUCACUCUUUUCAUCUCUCAUUGGCACGUCUUGCCUCCUGGCUUUCUCCCUUCCAAAUAAGUCAGCCACACUUAGCGUUCUGCCACAGUGUUUUAGGGACUUCGUUAGCUUCCUCAGAAGCCUGCAGCAGUUUGCCACAGUGCGUGUCGGUGUUUGAGUCUGUCCCGUAAUCUCAGGUACAAACACUGAUGGCGUCAGCCAGCGUCCAGUCAGCGGACAGAAACACCGUCAUUUGAGCUGGGAAAAUUCAAUAUUAAGAAUUGUUAAGUAGGUAAAGAUGGUAACAAACUAAAGACGGUUAGCUACUAAAAGGCGUUAAAGGAACUCUAAAGUGUAAAAGGUAGUGACCUCAGAAAGCAGCUAAUAUCCCGAGGGCUGAGCAAGCAAGGAGGGAACUCAGACACUUAGAAGGACGGGCCUCUGACAGUAUCCAAUGGUAGAUGUGCCUAUGUAGCUAUCAUUCUUCCCUUUAGAACACAUACCGCUUUCCCGACUUGGUCCAGUAGAUCUGUAAUAGUUCUGCAUAAUUAUAUGUACAAUAUGUGAAUAAUUGCUUAUAUGACAAACAUAUAAUUACAUAAUACACGCAACUAUAGAUGUAAAUAUGUACAUUAAUUUAAAGAUUAAGUACUUCAUGUGUUCACACUGAUGCUUCCAAUUCAAAUUUCACAUGUACUCAAACUCUUGUAUCUUUCAUCCCAAUUUCCUUUUGUCCAUGGCAAGAAUCUUGGAUCUCAAGGACAACGGGGAUGAAUGAAUGGGGAUGUCACAUAAAACAUUCUCAGAAUAACAAUACCAAAGCUACUAUGAGUAUAAUUACUGGAAAACUGUUGUAAAUGUUUUUCAUAUGCUAUUCCCAUUGUCUCCUCAUUUUCAAGAAUUACACUGUAUCUACAUUGUGGGAGCAUGGAGCCAUGUCCAAGGAAAGGCUCAUGGAAACAGUAUUCCCCAAGUUCUUGCAUGUUGAUGGCAGUUUGCUGCUUUUAUAUGUAAAAGUCAGUUUGGUCAAGUAUGAAAUCCUUGGCUCACAGUUUCUUUCCUUCAACGUCUUAAAUGUCCUACUUUGUUUUCUUCUGGAUAAGGCGGUGUUAUUGGAAAGCUUGAUUGAUGACAGUCUACUUUCUUUCCCUCGUAAUCACGUGGUCUGCUGCUUGGACGCUUGUUCUGAGUCAGUUUUCUCAGGUGUAUAGCAUGAUCUUUCAAUAUUUUUUAUUUUAUGAACGUUUUCUUGAAUUAUAAAAUCAUGAUUACGUACUUCUAACUUUUUUUGAUUUCUUAUUCUUGGAGGAUAUGUAAAUAUCUGUGUAUAUGCACAUGUUGGAUCUUCUGAAUGUAUCACACUCUUGCUCAUACUUUUCAUCUCUUUCUUUGCUGCUUUAUUUUUCUUUCAAUUUUUUUACUGUGGUAAAAUACACAUAACAUAAAACUUACCAUCUUAACCAUUUCUAAGUGUGCAGUCCGGUGGCAUCCAGGACAUUCACGUUGCUGUGCAGCCGUCACCACCGCCCUUCUCCAGAACUCUUUUCAUCUUACAAAAUUGAAUCUCUGUCUCCAUCAAACAGAACUCCAGGCCCCCAGCCCCUGGCACCUUCCUUCCUUCUUAAUCUUUAUAUGUUCCGUCCUCUUCCUCUUCCCUUGAUUAUAAGGCGUUACCUGUGCUGUUUGCUCUUGUGUUAUACGUCUAGUUAGUCUUAAUUUCUGAAAUGAUUCUUUAUUUUGUCUGAUUCUCACUUGAUUUCUACUGAUUUAUUACUGAGUUUUCUUCACUCCGAUUUAUCUUUCAUGUCAUGUUUUAGCUUACUUUGAAAUAUGAACUUGCAGUUUUCAUUUUUGUGAGAACGCAUCUGAUCUGACGGGCCUUCCUUGUCUGUAGAGAUCCUACUCCUCAUUCUUUCCUUUUCUCCCGUAAGAAACUUCAGUGUGAUGGAAGUCUCUCCUUUUCUGUUGCUCAUUUUUGCAUGAAGUUAGAUUUCUGAACUUUUAUACAGGACACUUGGCUUACAAUAAUUUUUCCAAUUUAAUGUCUCUAGGCCACCCUCUUCUGGUUGUUUUUGUAAAGUAUUCAACAAUAUGAACACUUCAGUUCUAAAUUGCCUUGCAUAUGCUUGGGACUCUCCUUCAGAGAAAACCAAGAACUCCCUGGUGCCGCCCUCUCCUCUCCGUCAGUGCUCAUCGAGUGUCUUGUGAGAGACGACUGACUUAACUCCCAUUCACUCCUCCACGGACUGCGCUACGGCUCUUGCUCCCGCUGACCCACUAAAGUCUUAAACUAACCCGCUGUUGUCUCCUAAUGGUUAGACUCAGUUUCUGGUUCUAAUCUCACUGGACUUUCUGGGGCUCUUCACAGCCUCUGUGACGUGAUGCUGUCCUGCUGUCCUCCAACUUCCCCACCUUUCCUUCUCAUCUUUUCCAAGGACUCUCUUAAGUGUCAGAGUUCUCCAGGGGUCUCUCUUCAGUCUGCUGUUUUAUGGACCCUCUGUGACUGGUCACAUCCAUUUACAGUUUCUACCUACAUGUCGCUGACCUCCAAAUCUCUAAUCCUGUCCCAGAGCUCUCCCACGUGUUGCUUUCUUAUAAAUGGAUAAUGGCAUGGAAUGAAGCCCAGGCUCCCUGGUUAGCAUGGCACAUGAGGUCCUCUCUGGAAUGGGCUACGGACCCUGCUCGUCUCUCCAGCCACAAAGCUCUUCCUUCUUCCUGCAGCUCCCAUCACACUGUGCUGUUUCUAGCCCAUGCUUAGGCCCAGGCUGGCCGUUAUGCUUCUAACACCCUCACUCACCCGCUGCAUCCUUGACUUUGACUGACAAUGCGCUCCUUUCCCUUCAGGCUGUGCUCGGUGCCUUACGUACUUACAUACUCACUCUACUCUGUGCACACAUCUCUCAAAGCAUUGACUGCAUUGUGUCAAAAUCAUGUCCUUAUGAAUCAGUUCCUGCCCUUCAUCUGUGAGGUUCCUGAGGGCAGGUGUUGAGUCUUAUUCAUCUUGGUACCCCCCUCACAAAGCACAAGGUCUGCCAUGUUAGAAGUGCUCAACAAGCAGGUGUUGAACGGAGCUGGUAAUUGCACUGACUAUAUUAGGCUCUGAGAAAAACUAGUGUAACAAAACAUGGCUUCCCCCAUUCUUUUGCAAAAAUAAAACCACUACAAUUAAAGCCUUACCAGGUAUUUUCACAUGUGAGUCCAUCUGUUUUAUGAGGUUGUUUUCUUAGGAUUGAAUCAGGCCGUAGAAAGAGUACUCGACCAUGAUCAGGGUGCCAGGGUGUGGCCCUCUGUAGACACAGUGGACGAGUCUGGGCGUGGGCUUGGUCCCUAAGGAGGGCAGCAGUGGUGCUGCACUACACUGCUGCAGGCGUGCUCAUGUGGGCCACCCAUGAAUGGUCCCUAAGGAGGGCAGCAGUGGCGCUGCACUACACUGCUGCGGGUGUGCUCACGUGGGCCACCCAUGAAUGGUCCCUAAGGAGGCAGCAGUGGUGCUGCACUUCACUGCUGGGGGUGUGCUCACGUGGACCACCCAUGAAUGAAUGGUCCCUAAGGAGGCAGCAGUGGUGCUGCACUACACUGCUGGGGGUGUGCUCACGUGGACCACCCAUGAAUGAUGGUUCCUAAGGAGGCAGCAGUGGUGCUGCACUACACUGCUGGGGGUGUGCUCACGUGGACCACCCAUGAAUGAUGGUUCCUAAGGAGGCAGCAGUGGUGCUGCACUUCACUGCUGGGGGUGUGCUCACGUGGACCACCCAUGAAUGUCCAGUCCGCCCUCAGCAUGAAAAUAGCUUGUCCUUCAAGGAAAGGUAGUCUGAGUUUAUUAAUGAAAAUGAAAUUCUUCAUUAGACCCUAACAGUGCUUUUAAGAUGGACAGAAAGCCCCUCCAAAGACAGAUAAGAUAAAUUGUAUCCAAAUUGUCCUGGAGCUAUUUCCUACGUUUUGGAGGAUGUGAAAUAAAUAAUUACAUAGCUUACUGUAUUUUCUAAAAAGAUAUUGAAGACAUGUAUUUCUUCAUCAUGAUUUCCUAUGACUGUUUCAUUCUUCAGUUACACAAUUUAAAAUUACUGUUCUGAGGAGUGAUUUCACAUUUUCCCAAUGAGAAAUAAAAAUGAGGUCUUAAACCAGAAAUGAAACCUUCACAAUGUCUCUUUAAAUUUUUAUACUGUCCCCACCAGCAAUUCACGGUUAAUAGAUUGCAUGUUUAACAUUAAUAUCCACAUUUAAAGAGAUCUCUGGUUACCUAACACAAUUUCUUUAUUCCUUUUAGUAACUAAUUUAAAUUCUUAAAAUACUGGCGUUGUUAAAAGCAUCUCAAAUAUUCUCAUCUUGUUUUUUUUCUAGAGCAAUUUUAUAAACUUGAAAGGACCAAAUAGCUCAUAUAUCUUCUUCUUUUACUUCUUAGAAUUAGAAUACUUUUACUACCUAGGAAACAAAUGCCUUUGAAAUGUAUACAUUUUGGUAAUAAUCGGUAACAUUACCUAACUUCCGAGGUUAUUGGUCGGGAGGAACAUGUUACACUGUUUCCUUAUUAAAGAAAAGCAAGGCAUUACACUAACUUCAUAGUUUGUCAUUGUGACCACAUCAAAUAUGAAAGUAGGAUUAGCUACACAAGCUACAAUUAUUGUUUUCAAUAAUAGAGAAUGAUAAAAUCUCUUCAGAGUCUAUUUGCAUCCCCUGAGAGUGUGCCCUUUUCCAGCAGAUGUUUCAGAACGUCAAUUACCAUGUCUGAGAAAUUUUGAGGCGUUAUUUAUAAUUCCUUGAAAUGAAGCUAGACUCUUUCCACAGUAAGCAUUUUUAAAUAAGGGUCCAUCAGUGAAUUUCAGGGACUAGUGUUACCCAAAAUUGUCAGCAAAAAAAUUUUUAUGUGCAUUUUUCUGGGGAGAGGAUCCAUAGCUUAUACCAGAUUUUCACUGUGACUAAUAAAAGGCUAAAUUCCACUGAGAGAAGGAGCGCCUGCUAUGGGCAUUCUUCUUUCUGUCCUUUCUUUUCCUCCAGUGUCUUCUAAACUCAAAAUUUAUCAGAAACUCACUGAAAUAAAAAUCACAAAACCCAGACUCUCCUUCCAAUUGUCCUACUUACUAUGAGCCAUGUGGUUUUGGGCAAACGGCACGUAUCUGAGAUUUAGUUUUCUUAUUCUAAAAGAUGGAUAGUAAUGCCCUAAGUUUCCCCCACAAUGGGGAGGGCGUGGCCUGAGUUAUCCAAAGCCCAGAGCCAUCAUCUGAUUCCCCUCUCCUGGAGGGAGAUAGAUGUAUCAAUAAAUCAAAAUAACAAUCCGAAUGUAAAGGAGGAAGUCAUUUUCAGGGUUAAGACAUUUUUUAAUUUCAGUCAUCAACUGUGUAUUGAAAAAGAUGUCAAACCAGGAAAGAAAAAUGUGAUUUAUUUUGUCAUUUCAGAGGAGAGACCCAGCCUGGUUGCCAACCAUGCUGGCUCAGAGUGACAGCAAUGGAAGAGUGCUCUUGGAUAAAGUCAUUCCUGACAGCAUCCUUACUGACAUUCUUUAUAAGACACAUUUUGCUACCAUUGCAUUAAAUUUAAUUUAUAUUAUAAAUGAUAGUAAGGCAGUUGCCUUAAAAAUUGUCACUCCAUCUGUAUUGUAAAAUUGCUCCAUUUUAUUGCCCUGGUUUAUUGUGCUGUCUCAACCACACACCAUAGUCUGUCCCAUAUGAGACACAUCAGAGCAGCAGCCCUUUUGAUGGUUAAAAAUCUCAGACAAAAUAAUGUAUACAUAAAGAGCCCAGAAAUGUUUAGUUUAAAUGAUCUUCACAAAAUUCAAUACUUUCUACAAAAGUACUGCUUUUUCCCCCAUUCUCUUCUUUUUCUUUCUCUCUCUCAUUCAUUCUCUCAAUAAAAGACAACACUGAAAAAUUGAGAGUAUAUAGUACAACUUACUAUCUGCCAAUUACUGCACUCAGCACUAAUAAACGCAUUUAUUACAUUAAUGAAUUAAUAAAUGUAUUAAUUCAUUUAAUGCUCAUUACAACCCUAUGAAGGAGGUACUAAGGAUACCUCAUUUUAAAGAUGAGGAAACUGAGGCACAGAGAGAGUCAGUCGCCCUUGGCUUAAAUGUGAAUGAGCUCCAAUGUCAGGCUUCUGAGUCUCAGCUGUCACACGCAAUGAGACGAUAGUGACAUAAAGAUAGGACACUGACAUCCACUCAAAUGUCAGCAAGUAUUUCUUGAGCACAUACUAAGUGCUGGAUUCCGUCUUCUGGUGCUGGAAAUAUAAAGAUCACGUCAGUGCGAGAUGCUUCAGGCUGUGGCUCAGUCCUAUUAGGUUGUCACACCCCAAACUCCCCUGUCAUUUCCUGACCUGAAGCGAGUCCUGGAACAAGCCAUCUCUGAGAUCAAGGCUGUUUUGCACCCAAAGGUUGGAAGUGACUUCGCCAGCCCCCAGGAACCCCAAGCAAAUUCUUAAGGAGAUGAGCCAUGCCACAAGACAAAGCUCCCAGAAGGACAGCCUGCUGUGACUCCAGCUGAUGACCAACUCCUCCCCGUUGAAAGGCCUCCAGCUAAAAGUGCUCGGCCCGAGCCAGCCACAGUGAUUCGGCUGGUGCUGGCGGAAACACGGGAGAAACAGCAACCGGCAGUAACUUCAUUCCCUAAAAAAAUCAUUUCGUUCAAGAAAUAUAUAUUGCGCUCCCCCUGCAUAACAAACAUAAAUAAUUGUUUAAAAUUUAAUUUUGAGCAAAUUAAAC